rnacentral:rRNA from 1 species
UGAGGAAUAUUGGGCAAUGCCCGAAAGGGUGACCCAGCAACGCCGCGUGGAGGAUGAAGGUCGUAAGAUUGUAAACUCCUGUUAGAGGGGAAGAAUAACUAAGUUUGGAGCUUAGUAUGACUGUACCCUCAGAGAAAGCCCCGGCUAACUACGUGCCAGCAGCCGCGGUAAUACGUAGGGUGCAAGCGUUGUCCGGAUUUAUUGGGUUUAAAGGGUGCGUAGGCGGUCUAUUAAGUCAGUGGUGAAAUCCAACAGCUCAACUGUUGAUGUGCCAAUGAUACUGAUGGACUUGAGUACAGACGAGGUAGGCGGAAUUGACAGUGUAGCGGUGAAAUGCAUAGAUAUUGUCAAGAACACCGAUAGCGAAGGCAGCUUGCUAGCCUGUAACUGACGCUGAGGCACGAAGGUAUGGGGAUCAAACAGGAUUAGAAACCCGGGUAG